rnacentral:rRNA from 1 species
UACACUCCUGCGGGAGGCAGCAGUGGGGAAUUUUGGACAAUGGGCGAAAGCCUGAUCCAGCAAUGCCGCGUGAGUGAAGAAGGCCUUCGGGUUGUAAAGCUCUUUUGUCAGGGAAGAAACGGUGAGAGCUAAUAUCUCUUGCUAAUGACGGUACCUGAAGAAUAAGCACCGGCUAACUACGUGCCAGCAGCCGCGGUAAUACGUAGGGUGCAAGCGUUAAUCGGAAUUACUGGGCGUAAAGCGUGCGCAGGCGGUUUUGUAAGUCUGAUGUGAAAUCCCCGGGCUCAACCUGGGAAUUGCAUUGGAGACUGCAAGGCUAGAAUCUGGCAGAGGGGGGUAGAAUUCCACGUGUAGCAGUGAAAUGCGUAGAUAUGUGGAGGAACACCGAUGGCGAAGGCAGCCCCCUGGGUCAAGAUUGACGCUCAUGCACGAAAGCGUGGGGAGCAAACAGGAUUAGAUACCCCGGUAGUCCC